rnacentral:rRNA from 1 species
UGGGGAAUCUUGGACAAUGGGGGCAACCCUGAUCCAGCCAUGCCGCGUGAGUGAUGAAGGCCUUAGGGUUGUAAAACUCUUUCAGCGGGGACGAUAAUGACGGUACCCGCAGAAGAAGCCCCGGCUAACUCCGUGCCAGCAGCCGCGGUAAUACGGAGGGGGCUAGCGUUGUUCGGAAUUACUGGGCGUAAAGCGCGCGUAGGCGGACAGUCAAGUUGGGGGUGAAAGCCCGGAGCUCAACUCCGGAACUGCCCUCAAAACUGGAUGUCUGGAAUCCGGGAGAGGUGAGCGGAAUUCCUAGUGUAGAGGUGAAAUUCGUAGAUAUUAGGAAGAACACCAGUGGCGAAGGCGGCUCACUGGACCGGUAUUGACGCUGAGGUGCGAAAGCGUGGGGAGCGAACAGGAUUAGAUACCCCGGUAGUCC